CCCCCCCCUGGUUCUCGAUCUGGAUUUGGAUUUCUUGUUUGUGGGUGUAAUCUUUGGCUGCACAAGAUGUUGUUGAGAUUAUUGAUCGGUAUGAUCAUGCAUGUGUCCCACCUAACAUGACUGAUAAUAAGCUUGCGUACAUCCAGAAUGAGGCUAUAUCCAAAGAGUGCACAAGGACUCUCACGGUUACAAAGGAUACGAAGCAGCCAAUUUAUGCCUACUACCAACUUGACAACUUUUAUCAGAAUCAUAGGAGGUAUAGUCUUAUUUGAUGUUUU